rnacentral:rRNA from 1 species
UACGAAGGACCCGAGCGUUAUCCGGAUUUAUUGGGUUUAAAGGGUGCGUAGGCGGGUCUUUUAAGUCAGGGGUGAAAUCCCCGAGCUCAACUCGGGAACUGCGUCCGAUACUGGCGGGCUUGAAUCCGGGAGAGGGAUGGCGGAAUUCCAGGUGUAGCGGUGAAAUGCGUAGAUAUCUGGAGGAACACCGGUGGCGAAGGCG